AUGUGGGGUGUCAAUGAGUGGAGCAGGUUGUUGAUGACACCAUUUAGCCACGGCGCCCCUGGAAGCCGGGUCUUGGCCACCACAAGGCAUGAAGCUGUUGCACGGGGAAUAAGAGCCAUGGAGCCGUACCACCAUGUUGACAAAUUAGGACUCGAUGAUGCUUGGUCAUUGCUCAGGAAGCAGAUUCAUGGAAUGGACAGAAGUGAACCAGCGAUUGUUAUGCUAAAGGAUAUCGGAUUAAAAAUUGUAGAAAAAUGUGAUGGAUUACUGCUUGCUAUAAAAGUAAUGGGAGGACUCCUAUGCCAGAAGGAGAAAGAACGACGUUGUUGGGAACAGGUUCUAAAUGAUGCUAUAUGGUCAGUAUCUGGAAUGCCGGAGGAGCUAAAUAAUGCAAUAUAUCUUAGCUAUGAGGACUUGUCCCCUUGUUUAAAACAAUGCUUCUUGCAUUUUUCACUAAAACCUAAAAGGACAGUAUUACAUGAUAGCGAGUGUGUCGGCAUGUGGAUUGGUGAAGGAAUUGUUCAUGGUGAUUCAGAUAGACUGGAAGAAUUAGGAAUUGAGUACCAUAAGGAGCUAGUACUAAGAAAUCUCAUAGAACCUGUUACAUCAUAUGCUGGUCAACAUGUUUGCAAUAUGCAUGAUGUUGUUUGUUCAUUUGCUCAAUUUGUGUCUAGAAAUGAAGCACAAACAGUUAACAGUGGAGAUUCUAUUAGUAGUAAACUUGGUUUGCAGAGGUUUCUUAGGUUGUCUAUUGAAACCGAUGCAGUGGAAUCAGCUGAAUUUGAUUGGCAAAGUCUACAAGAGCAAAAGUCACUAAGAUCCAUAAUACUAAUCGGGAAUUUCCGUAUUCAGCCUGGUGUUUCAUUGAUUAGCUUUUCAAGUCUACGAACUCUACAUAUGGAGUCUACAGAUUGUGUUACAUUGCUUGUAUCUUUGUAUCAACUGAAACACUUGAGGUACUUGGCUGCAAAAAGAUGCAGCGGUAUAAAUAGCUUGCCACAGGACAUCCACAAGAUAAAAUUCUUGCAGCAUAUUUGUUUUGAGGGUUGUGAGAAUCUUUUGGAACUACCUGAUAGCAUUGUGAAACUACAAGAACUGAGAUUUCUUGACCUUGAUUGCACAUAUGUAACUGGUGUGCCUAGGGGUUUCCGUGCUCUAAAAAAUUUGAGGACAAUAUAUGGGUUCCCGGCUCAAAUGGAUGGUGACUGGUGCAGUUUGGAAGAGCUUGGGCCUCUUUCCUGGCUUAGGUGCAUUAGAAUAGUUGGUCUACAGAAUGUAUCUGCUGGCUCAUUUGCCACAAAGGCCAGGCUUGGUGAAAAGGUGUAUCUUUCCAUGCUGCGCUUAUACUGCAGCAAUAGACUUGGCGAUGACGGACUGAAGAAAGAAAAUGUCUCCGAGAGAGAUCAAAGAGUAAUUGAGGAGUUAUUUGAUGGGCUAUUUCCUCCACCAUGCAUAGAAGAUAUUUGGAUCCAAGGAUAUUAUGGGUGCCAGCUCCCAAGAUGGAUGUUUUCAACAUCAAUGUCACUCCUUGAGAACUUGAAGAUUCUAGUGCUGCGCGACCUGGCUUGCUGCACUCAACUCCCUGAUGGACUGUGUCAGCUCCCUUGUUUCGAGUACCUAGAGGUAUUCCGGGCUGUAGCAAUUAAGCGUGUGGGUCCUGAAUUUGUGAAGGCUUAUAGUCACCAUCAUCAUCCUUCAUCCCGGGUUGUGGUUACUUUUUCAAGACUGCACAAGAUGAUCUUGAAUGGACUGGUGGAAUGGGAGGAGUGGGAGUGGAAGAAGGAAGUGCAGUCUAUGCAGGCCUUGGAGGAACUUGAAAUCGGAAGUUGCAAAUUGAGGUGUAUCCCUCCUGGCCUUGCCUCCCAUGCAAGGGCUUUGAAAAAGUUAACUAUAUGGAGAGUCCAGCAACUCCAGUCUAUAGAGAACUUUUCCUCUUUAGUUGAGCUCGACCUGGCUGACCUACCCGACCUGACUAGGAUCUCCAAUUUCCCCAAGAUGCGAAAACUUGAGAUCUAUUGCUGCCAGAAGCUUGAGUCGCUGCAGGAGAUGGAUGCACUCAAUAGGCUCGUGCUAACAGUUCACUACAGCGACAGCCGGCUCCCAUCAUACCUGCAAACUGUGAAGCUAAGCCAUUUGCUGCUGGACUGCUGGCCGUUCAUACUCCUUUCCAUGGCUUUGGGAGAGUCUAGUUCCGAGUGGGACAAGUUCAGCCAUAUCCAGCACGUCGAGGCUUAUGCAGAUGUUAAUGGCAUUGAAAAGAGCUGGCACCUAUUUUACACAAGGGAUCCCUACAGCAUGGAGACAAACAUUGAUCUGCAGGCGUGGCCAAAUGUUGUUAGGUUUCUACAAUCAGGGGGCGAAGAUGGACUGCCUCGUUUAGCUGACCAGUUACAACGAGCACGAGCUCAAGAAGUGGAGGUUGCAGACACAAUAGAGUAG
rnacentral:rRNA from 1 species